GUAAGGAAUAUUGGUCAAUGGACGCAAGUCUGAACCAGCCAUGCCGCGUGAAGGAUGAAGGUCCUCUGGAUUGUAAACUUCUUUUAUCUGGGACGAAAAAAGGGUUUUCUAACUCGACUGACGGUACCAGAUGAAUAAGCACCGGCUAACUCCGUGCCAGCAGCCGCGGUAAUACGGAUGGUGCAAGCGUUAUCCGGAUUCACUGGGUUUAAAGGGUGCGCAGGCGGAUAUGUAAGUCAGUGGUGAAAUCUCUGGGCUUAACCCGGAAACUGCGGUCGGUACUAUAUAUCUUGAUUGCCGUGGAGGUAAGCGGAAUAUGUCAUGUAGCGGUGAGAUGCUUAGCUAUGACAUAGAACACCUAUUGCGAAGGCAGCUUACUACGCGGUUAUUGACGCUCAUGCACGAAAGCGUGGGGAUCAAACAGGAUUAGCUACCCUAGUCGUCC
rnacentral:rRNA from 1 species